CAAGAAAUAUUAGUUUUUUUUUUUGUUAUAAGCCCGAAAUUGGUUUUAAAUGUUUGUAAAAUGAAAUUUAAAAAAGAAUAUCAGACCAUAUAUAAAAAUAGUAUAUAGAGACAAUAUUCUAAUUUUGUAUGAUUGCAUGCUUUGUUUUUCAAAUUUCAUUUUUAAAAAGUUUAACAUAGCAGGUGGCGUAUUCCUGUGGUUUAGUGGACAUGUCAUUGUACUGCACAUUAUAACCCAUAUGGAUGCAUUUCAACAUUUACUUUGUAGAUGGAAGAGGAAUCCAGAAAGUUUCUGAAGAUAUGCCAUGGACAGAGAUGAGUGGGCGUAGUUGCUUCAAACAUAGAGAUGCUGAACGAAAAAUCAGAGAAACACGUUGAAAAUGGUGCAUACCCUACACCUGAAGCAUCAACAUAAGCUACACAGACACUUGCAAGGAACAAGUUUGCAAUAAGAGAUAUACAACAGCAACUUCAACCUUAACAAGAACAACUCUGCCCAUUACAAUUACUCCAACCAUAACAACAACUCCAGCUGUAACGACAGCAACAUCAACCCCAAUCGUAACAACAGUUAUAACAACUCCAGCCGUAGAAGCAUUAACUGAUAACAUUGCGAUGGCAUAGAAGCUUUCCCACAUUUUAAUGAAUGAAUUUCCGGAUAAAUUAAAAGCAAAAUUAUUACUACGUAAGGGAGUUUUCCCAUACCAAUAUUUAGACUGCGAAGAAAAGUUUCAAGACACAUCACUUCCACGUAAAGAAGCAUUCUAUUCUACAUUAACUAGGGAGGACAUUUCAGAUGAAGAUUAUGAACACUCGCUAAACGUUUUUCAAAAGUUCACUAUGCAACCGUUAAGUGAUUAUGACGAUUUCUAUGUCAAAUCCGAAUGUAUUCUGCUUUGUGACGUAUUUGAAGCAUUUAGAAAUGUAUGCAUGGAGCAAUAUGAAUAAGAUCUUUGUCAUUUCUAUACAAGUCCUGGCCUAGCUUGGUCUGCUUGUUUAACAUGAGCACCGCCUGCGGGUGCUGACGCUCAUCUGAUUUUUUGUAUAAUAGAAAUAUUGUCUUACCCAAUGCCAUGAUUUUCUAAGUCUAAAAAGGGCCAUCAUUCUUUCAAAAAGCAGGAUAGUUAUGUUUCUUUAUGCACAGCGUCCGCUUAUAAUGGUGAAAAACUGUUGCAAGUUUUAAAGCAAUAACUUUGAUAGUUUAUGAGAAAAGUUGACUUAAACAUUAUACUCAACCAAGAAAAUGAUUUUCUAAGUCCAAAAGGGGCAAUAACUGCCAAAAUUGAAUGAUGGACCAAUCAGUUUUAGUAGAAAUUUAGCAGGCUAAGGGUUAAUUUUUGUUCUUGUUAUUUUGUUUAAAUAAUCAAUUUAAAAACUUUAGCGACUUUGUUUUUAAAAGCUUUAUCAUUAUCACGAUUACCCCAGUGGAAGACCAGUACUAAACCUUAGAUAUUGAAAACAAAUUGCA